rnacentral:rRNA from 1 species
GACGAUCCGUAGCGGGUCUGAGAGGAUGAUCCGCCACACUGGGACUGAGACACGGCCCAGACUCCUACGGGAGGCAGCAGUGGGGAAUUUUGGACAAUGGGCGCAAGCCUGAUCCAGCCAUGCCGCGUGAGUGAAGAAGGCCUUCGGGUUGUAAAGCUCUUUCGGCCGGGAAGAAAUCGGCGGCUCUAACAUAGCCGCUGGAUGACGGUACCGGACUAAGAAGCACCGGCUAACUACGUGCCAGCAGCCGCGGUAAUACGUAGGGUGCGAGCGUUAAUCGGAAUUACUGGGCGUAAAGCGUGCGCAGGCGGUUUUGUAAGACAGAUGUGAAAUCCCCGGGGCUUAACCUGGGAACUGCGUUUGUGACUGCAAGGGCUAGAGUACGGCAGAGGGGGGUGGAAUUCCUGGUGUAGCAGUGAGAUGCCUAGAGAUCAGGAGGAACACCGAUGGCGAAGGCAGCCCCCUGGGCCUGUACUGACGCUCAUGCACGAAAGCGUGGGAGCAAACAGGAUUAGAUACCCUGGUAGUCCACGCCCUAAACGAUGUCGACUAGUCGUUCGGAGCAGCAA